CGAUAAACAUCUUCGGUUUCUGGCUUGUUGUUUGGCUGUUGCUAGGUGGUGUGAGUGGCACAGCUCCCAGUGUGAUGUCACAGAGAGACGCUUCCGGAAUAAUCACGUGAGGAUCAGAGCAGCUGAGUUCAGACACUGACAUACUUUAUUCAAUAAGACCCACAUUAAUCUGUUGUCUUCAGCAGAAGUUACAAAUAUAAAAAAGGUCUGUUAGAAAAGUCUGUUAAAGUCACUCAGAACAAGUGAGAAGAAGAAAGAAUUCAUGAGAAGCUGCAGCACACAGUCAACAAAGAGAAAAAAUAUUCUGGUAUUAUGAUUUUUAUUAUUUAAUUUUUAUUUUAACUACAAAAUAUGACCUUCAUGGUGGCGCUUUAUUUUUUUUUAAGCCACUGUGAUUCUUGUCUUACAGUAUGUCAAUACUGUACUAUUUCGUCCUCAUUUCUCAUCCCUGUACAUAUUGUAAAAAUUAUUACUACUGUUCUAUUAUUUUUUUUUUUCUAUUACUACACCUAUUGCUACAUAAGCUGCUGUAACAAUGUCAAUUUCCCCUGGCGUGGGGAGAAAUAAAGGACUUAUCUAUACUGUGAUUUUCUCACAAACGAAAUGUGGAUAUAAAAAAAAGGAUAAAUAUUGUAAUCGCUAUGAUGUUAACUCCCACCCAGCUCCUCUUCAAACGGCGAUAGUUUCUUCUCACCGCUACGAAGAACCUAGAGACUCUAGAUCUCAAAUUGUCUGGUCGAGGGAUGGCUUCUAAAUUAACCUGCAAAACCAUCCACACAGCUUCCUUAAAAGAUUCAUCUUUUGCAGUCAUCGCUGCCUCCAGCAGCUUUUCUGCAGAGCCAAACAUCCUUUCAAGGUCCUUCGCCAUGGCCUUCGAUAUUUCAUCCGUCUCCUGGGUUAUUUUUGUGAUGAAGUCAGGUGACAGGUAGCGUUCAUCCAGAAGGAUCAACAGUUGCUUCAGGAUGAGCUGGAGUUCCUCUGUGGUGACUAACGCCCUGGAUUUACAGAGGAAUUUGACCAUCGCCUUCAGCAGCAGAGCGCUGACGACGUCCUUUUCUUCGGGGGACAAGUAGAGCGAAGAAUGUGAUUCUUUUCUGACCUGGGAAGUGGCGGGUUCAGGAGCAGAGACCAGUUCAGUCGCUGGUUCUUGAUGGGAGGAUCUGUUAUCAGACUCAGACUCUUCUGACCUUCUGACUACAUACUCGUUUUGCUCGUCCUCCAGAUCCACAAUGCUCUCACAAAACCUGUACAGGCAUGCCGACAUUUUAUCAAAUUGCGUUUUGGCAGCCUUGGAAAAUUGAUAUCUUCUCACCGCUAAGAAGAACCUAGAGACUCUAGAUCUCAAAUUGUCUGGUCGAGGGAUGGCUUCUAAAUUAACCUGCAAAACCAUCCACACAGCAUCCUUAAAAGAUUCAUCUUUUGCAGUCGUCGCUGCCUCCAGCAGCUUUUCUGCAGAGCCAAACAUCCUUUCAAGGUCCUUCGCCAUGGCCUUCGAUAUUUCAUCCGUCUCCUGGGUUAUUUUUGUGAUGAAGUCAGGUGACAGGUAGCGUUCAUCCAGAAGGAUCAACAGUUGCUUCAGGAUGAGCUGGAGUUCCUCUGUGGUGACUAACGCCCUGGAUUUACAGAGGAAUUUGACCAUCGCCUUCAGCAGCAGAGCGCUGACGACGUCCUUUUCUUCGGGGGACAAGUAGAGCG
ensembl:lncRNA